CCACCUCGUUUAUCGAUUUCUGCCUCUUGUUAACCGCUACCUGUCUUGCAGAAGGACCAGACACGGGGGUAGAUACCGGGCCAGAGAAAGCAAGUGCAUUUCUAGCUUCUCUGAAAUCUGUAUCUGGAAAUGCAAUCUUCAACAAGUCAAAAAACAAAUCAUGUACUUUCCUCGCUUCAGAUCUGACCUGUGA